CGCCGCCCCCAAGCGCUGUCGCCUGCCCACGGGGAAGGCCGUCCCCCCUCUGAUCAGCGAGCCCGACUACCGCAAGCGGGGACUCGACGAGUGGAACUAUGUCAUCCCCCUCCCUGAGCCUUUGAAAGUUCGCUCCAGAGAAAUUAUAGCGAGUCACCUGUACAGUGGGUGUUCCUGCCAAAAGCGCAAUGGGCUCCAGGAUAACUGCAGGCGCUGGGACUGCCGGGGGGCGCCCCAUUGCUGCAAGACUGGACUUUGCAAGAACAGCGGAGGGGCAGGCUGUGAUGGCUCACUGUGCAGAAAGGGGUGAACAGUCAAAUUUCCAAGAAAAAUAACACAUUUAAAAGUUUGGGAUAAUUAAAAAGGAACAAAACCGUCUAACUUUAGUAAAAUGCGUUUAUUUGAAUGGCAAUGUCGAUGCAAAUAA